AAGCAAAACUUGCUAUGGGUGCUGUGCUUUGCACUGGACUAUUUUUGGUAUGAAUUAGGUGCUUUUCUUGUUGUUGUUCUGGAGCUUAAGAUAAUGGAAGCUUCAUUACAGCCCUGAAUCCGGUAUCUAAUCUAAGUUUCCAGAAGGAAGUAAUUCAGGCACAUUCUGUGCCUUGUAUUCCUAUUGGCUAGCUCUUAUAGGGAGUUUAAGAUCUUGUUAGAGAUUGCACUUUGAGCUGCUCAAAUGUUGAUCCAUGUAAGUGCAAGUUCAAGUUUGGAGCAAUCACACAUUUGAAACAGCAGUGGCCUUGAGGACUGAAAGUGGAACAUUGAGCAGGACGGAGGAGCAGAAAUGUAGUUUUCUUAUCCCGCCAAGGGGAUGUCCCUACCAAGGACACGAUACCUAUCAAGGAAGACAUGCCGGGAAGUCAGGUACCCAGAUCAAAGUCAUGGCAGGAGAGAAUCAAAGGGAUUUAGGUGGUACCCUGCGCGGACACGCUAACAGAGCCUUAUGAACUUGAAUUUGCUUCUGCUCAGUGACAGAAAAGGGGAAUGACUCCAAACUAACCUACUGCCUGUUGCAUCUUAGAUUUUUUUACACAUGGAGGUCACCUGAAAACAUGCCAGUGAAUCAAAUCGCCUAUACAUCAAUGCUAGAGAAAUAGCAUUUGGGAAACAAAGACUUUUCUGAAUGAAGAUUGAGGGUCUGACCAUCAAUUAUUAGCCCUUAGGAGAAAAAAAAUGAGGCCUUGUACCAUCUCUUGAUAUCACAUGGGAGCUACACUCUGCACCAUAUAAUCCUGUGUUGCAUGAGGUGAAUGCUAGGACUACCACCACAACAGUCUGAUUUCAGAGAAGGAUUGAGGUAUACAUGAUCAACUGCAAACAUCCAUCACAUCACUGAAAAAUACAGAGUACAAUCAUCCACUGAACAUGUGUUUUAUUGAUUGCUUAAAAGUGUUUGAUACCGUCUGACAAGACUCCCUUUGGAGAAUAGUGGAAAUGGAAAGGUGCUGUAUGACAGAUCAUCGGGAGGUCAGCUGCUGAGUGCAAAGCUAAUAGAGAUUUGAGAAGACUUCUGGAAAUUCUGCUUUGAUAUCACCAUAUUCAGACAUGAAUAAAUGGACUGACUUGCUUAAGUUACAAUAGUCAAUACAGUAAAUUCCUUUAAUAAAUUCUGAUGUAUGCUAUAUGAAUCAGCUAAUACGUACACUGAAAUGCUUCUUGUAGUCUUUUACCUCUUCUUACCAAUAGCUAUUUUCAUAGACCUUCAUCAGUUCCUCAUUGUUCCAACUAUUUUUCUUGUAAUAAGACUAUUAUUUCACCCAUUUUGUCAUUAAUUUAAUUUGUUAAUGGACUUCCUUUCUCUUUAGUACUUAUUUGCCUUCUGCUUUAUCUAUAAAAGGCCCUUUUUAUCCCU